GACGAACGCUGGCGGCGUGCUUAACACAUGCAAGUCGAACGGAAAGGCCCUGCUUUUGUGGGGUGCUCGAGUGGCGAACGGGUGAGUAACACGUGAGUAACCUGCCCUUGACUUUGGGAUAACUUCAGGAAACUGGGGCUAAUACCGGAUAGGAGCUCCUGCUGCAUGGUGGGGGUUGGAAAGUUUCGGCGGUUGGGGAUGGACUCGCGGCUUAUCAGCUUGUUGGUGGGGUAGUGGCUUACCAAGGCUUUGACGGGUAGCCGGCCUGAGAGGGUGACCGGGCACAUUGGGACUGAGGUACGGCCCAGAAUCCUACGGGAGGCAACAGGGGGGAAUAUUGCACAAUGGGCGGAAGCCUGAUGCAGCAACGCCGCGUGCGGGAUGACGGCCUUCGGGUUGUAAACCGCUUUCGCCUGUGACGAAGCGUGAGUGACGGUAAUGGGUAAAGAAGCACCGGCUAACUACGUG
rnacentral:rRNA from 1 species